rnacentral:rRNA from 1 species
ACACGACUACAUUAGAUACCCCUGUAGUCCAGGGUGUAAACGCUGCGGGCUUGGUGUUGGGGGUCCUUUGAGGGCGCCCAGUGCCGGAGAGAAGUUGUUAAGCCUGCUGCUUGGGGAGUACGUCCGCAAGGAUGAAACUUAAAGGAAUUGGCGGGGGAGCACAACAACGGGUGGAGCUUGCGGUUUAAUUGGAUUCAACGCCGGAAAUCUUACCGGGACCGACAGCAACAUGAAGGCCAAGCUGAAGACUUUGCCGGAUUAGCUG